UACGUAGGGCGCGAGCGUUGUCCGGAAUUAUUGGGCGUAAAGAGCUCGUAGGCGGUGUGUCGCGUCGGUCGUGAAAACUUGGGGCUUAACUCUGAGCUUGCGGUCGAUACGGGCAUCACUUGAGUUCGGCAGGGGAGACUGGAAUUCCUGGUGUAGCGGUGAAAUGCGCAGAUAUCAGGAGGAACACCGGUGGCGAAGGCGGGUCUCUGGGCCGAUACUGACAGCUGAGGAGCGAAAGCGUGGGGAGCAAACGGG
rnacentral:rRNA from 1 species